rnacentral:lncRNA from 1 species
CGAGUUAUAAUCCAUUUACUUCUUAACAACAAUCUGAAACUUGUUGGCUCAGAAACGUUGCGCUAGUCCUCCAACGGCAUCUGUUUACACUAACUGAUCUGGAACUUCCAAACAUUGACAAAAAUGACCCAAGUCCUAAACUGUAAACCAUCCAAAAGUUCAGAAUUACGGAUGGAAGAAUUGACAAGUAACUGAAAAAGUUACCUACUGGUCACUUAUCUUUCGGAAAUUGUACUCUUGGCUAUUACCAUGUGGUCACUCUUCUUCUUCUGCGAGACCCUCACCGUCGGUGACUCAAACCUAGAAUCCGGCGAGGUCCUCCAACGACCUCCAAACUUCUUAGAACAGCAUCUCCUUGCCGCCGAACGCCUAGACCCUCCGUUCGGCACUCCAACGACUACCAAAGCUCUCCACCAUCACGUCCCCACCAUCGAUCUCCUAUUCUCUCACCUCGGACGCGCCGUCACUGCUGUCCUCAAUUUACCCUUGCUUCGGUUGCAGCUCUACCCCGCCGGAUCUUCCUCUUCUCAACCAAAUCGGCGCCAAAGCAAACAAGGAGGGAGAUCCCUUUCUACAUCUCUCUCCCUAUCCCACGAUCACCAUUCCCUAAGAUCUUGGGAGCAAGCAAUCCCCUCUUAUGUCGAUUAGGUAAGGGAAU